ACGGUGAUGGCAGCUUACAGGAGCACAGUGGUAGUGAGACUGAGGACCAGGCCAUGAGAAGGCACCUUCAGCCGCCCCGAGGAAGGGAAGGACACCGCAGCUCAGUGCUUGGAGGAGCCAGGCCAGCAGGAAACUCGGUGGAAGGGACCCCAAAGCAGGAACCGAGCAGUCACUUCCAGAGGCCUUCGAAGGAAGGACCCACAGCUGGAACCCACGGACAACCGCUUCGGACAUGGCACAUUGGCAAGCAGCGACCAUGGCAGUCACAGACCCAACCCUGGCAUCAAGGACACAGGCUGGCCUUGAGUGAUUUCUAGGGAAACCGACGUUAACUCGCGCCUCCGCCCCAUCCAGGAACUGUAGUGUUCAGAAGUAAAUCAAUAAAAGCACGCUGUGUUUCCUCAG